GGGCCUGUAGUACAGUGGUAAUACAUUCCCUUCGCAUGGGAAAGGCGGGAGUUCGAUUCUCCCCAGGUCCA
rnacentral:tRNA from 1 species